rnacentral:rRNA from 1 species
AGAGUUUGAUCAUGGCUCAGAACGAACGCUGCCGGCAUGCCUAAUACAUGCAAGUCGAGCGAAACUCUUCGGAGUUAGUGGCGCACGGGUGCGUAACGCGUGGGAAUCUGCCCUUGGGUUCGGAAUAACAGUUAGAAAUGACUGCUAAUACCGGAUGAUGACGUAAGUCCAAAGAUUUAUCGCCCAAGGAUGAGCCCGCGUAAGAUUAGCUUGUUGGUGAGGUAAAGGCUCACCAAGGCUACGAUCUUUAGCUGGUCUGAGAGGAUGAUCAGCCACACUGGGACUGAGACACGGCCCAGACUCCUACGGGAGGCAGCAGUAGGGAAUAUUGGACAAUGGGGGCAACCCUGAUCCAGCAAUGCCGCGUGAGUGAUGAAGGCCUUAGGGUUGUAAAGCUCUUUUACCCGGGAUGAUAAUGACAGUACCGGGAGAAUAAGCUCCGGCUAACUCCGUGCCAGCAGCCGCGGUAAUAC